rnacentral:sRNA from 1 species
GUAAACAAUUCCAAGUUCCAAAAUGGUUAAUAACAACAGACCAAGACGUCAACGAGCUUAACGCGUUGUCGUCACAACAACCCAAACAGCGCCUAAAUGUGCAUUUGCACCACGCUUCCAUGAACGUGGGUAUUUACCCAACGUCGAACUUGAUGCAGUUUACCGGAAGCAUAACUGUUUGGAAAUGCCCUGUAAAGCUGAGUACUGUGCAAUUCCCGGUUGCAACAGAUCCAGCCACCAGUUCGCUAGUUCAUACUCUUGUUGGUUUAGAUGGUGUUCUAGCGGUGGGGCCUGACAACUUCUCUGAGUCAUUCAGCCCUUUUUGAAGGAUUUGGCUUUUAGAAGCAUCCGGACGCCAACCUAACCGGGCAAGUAUCCGAACAAUCGGACAUUUGGCCACAAUAAGCCCAAUUUGGUUGAAGAUUAAAGUAGUGAGCCCCCUUAGCGCGAAACAAAACGUGCCACAUAAUGGUAGACGCCGACGUAAUCGCACGAGGCGUAAUCGGAAUUUAUAGACGCCGACGUAAUCGCACGAGGCGUAAUCAGUUUAAGUCAACAGACUAAGGU